rnacentral:rRNA from 1 species
AUUGAACGCUGGCGGCAGGCCUUACACAUGCAAGUCGAACGGCAGCACGGGAGCAAUCCUGGUGGCGAGUGGCGAACGGGUGAGUAAUAUAUCGGAACGUGCCCAGUCGUGGGGGAUAACGUAGCGAAAGCUACGCUAAUACCGCAUACGAUCUACGGAUGAAAGCGGGGGAUCGCAAGACCUCGCGCGAUUGGAGCGGCCGAUAUCAGAUUAGGUAGUUGGUGAGGUAAAGGCUCACCAAGCCGACGAUCUGUAGCUGGUCUGAGAGGACGACCAGCCACACUGGGACUGAGACACGGCCCAGACUCCUACGGGAGGCAGCAGUGGGGAAUUUUGGACAAUGGGCGCAAGCCUGAUCCAGCAAUGCCGCGUGCAGGAUGAAGG